UUACCCGCCAGGGGACUACAAGCACUAGCUUAAAACCCAAAGGACUUGGCGGUGCCUCAAACCCAUCUAGAGGAGCCUGUUCUACAACUGAUAAUCCUCGUUAAACCUCACCACCCCUUGUUAACCCCGCCUAUAUACCGCCGUCGCCAGCUCACCUUGUGAAAGAUUAAUAGUGAGCCUAAUGGGAAUAUCCCAGAACGUCAGGUCGAGGUGUAGCGAAUGAGGUGGGAAGAAAUGGGCUACAUUUUCUGACCCCAGAAUACUACGAAAAAUGCUAUGAAACAUUGCAUACAGAAGGUGGAUUUAGCAGUAAAGAGAAAACAGAGUGUUCUCUUGAAAUUGGCUCUGAGGCGCGUACAC
rnacentral:rRNA from 1 species